rnacentral:lncRNA from 1 species
CCAUAGGACAUGCAUACCGAUUUUGCAGUUUUGUCUACUAACUCGGGGUAUUUUUCUUUUGUUUCCCCCCUCCCUUGCAUUCAUAAAAAUAUUUCAAUAAGACGGAAAUAUUCUUCUAUAUCUGAUGAUAAUUUUAAUCCAAUGAAGUUUGAAGAUUACAAGUGUUAUUUGAUUCUUGGGCGGGUCCUACGAUGAAAACUCUCUGAGAAAUGUUGUAAUUGUUUUCCAAAGGAAAAUUUUGUAUAUUUGAAAAAGGA